GUGGUGAGCCCAGGUGAUGCUAUUCAGGGUAAUGAAGGCCUGCUAGUACUCUCGAUGCCCAGACCCCACUGGCUUUUCUCCUUGUAUAGGAACCUGAGAUAGCAUUUAGAGGGAGUGACGGAUCCCCAGUGAACAAAGUGUCUUCUCUGGAAAAAGCCCUGAGUAGCUCAUGGGUUAUACUUUUCCUUGCUAAACUGGAAAGCUCAGUGUUUCUUUGAGAGAAACUCCUGGUUCCUUAGCAGUUGGCUAAGCUGGGAUGCAGUCAACUCCAGGGCAGAGGGAGCAACCUGCGUCUGAAGAGGGCUAAUAUCUGUUGACUCUGAAAAUAAACAUGUACUGUCUUAUAGGGACUGCUGGCACUCUUACAGCUGUGUUUCUGCGUGGUUUGAUGAGCCUGAAGAUUUUCAGCAUCUUUUAAGCAGAACUGUUAUUUUCAAGUCUCCCUGAGCACCAGACAACCCAGAAGAGAAAGCUGGCAUCUUCUCUAGGUUUCCCCCACAACCCACUCCUCCUUACCUUUAGUGGGAAGUGACUUGUGAGAUGAGCAGAAAGAAGCACAGUCUGCUUCCAAGGAGCUUUUGCUAUAAAGAUGCAGUGCUCAGCAGCCCCUCGAGGCUCCCUAAAGACAUUUAGUUAUGGCUGAGGAGUGUGGUGGAUGGCUGAAGUCAUUGGCAGACCAGUGCUCCAUGAUAAUGGAGACAUUAAAUCAGUCAUGGCAGCAUGAACUGCAUAAUAGAUGCAAAAUACAGCAGAAGUCUGAUCCAAUUUCGGCUCUCCAUUGUUAAGUGGUGAAGUAUCUCAGGGGAUGGAAAAAUACUAGGAAGUUUGGAGUGCAUUCCCCACGCAGCUUGGCACAAGAGGUAGCAGUCUACAUGCCCGUAACUAUAGAUAUAGAACUUCCAUAUGCAUAUUCUCAUACUGUUUCAAUGAUUGAAAUUGCAUGCUGGAAUUCAGCUGUGGUCAACAAAGACAGAGCCAUAAACACAUGAAAUGGUCCUCCUGGUUCAACUGCAGCUGGUUGGUCUGCUCUAGGACAAGGUAACACUAUCCAAUACUGCCAAUUCCUCUUGAGCACUGCUGUGCUGCAGAAGUUCUUGACAACCAGCUUCCAAGCCAGCUCUCCAGUAAGCACACAGGAGAUAGAUGGAUAAAGUUCCAGCCAAAAUCUGCUAUGAGAGAAAUUGAAAUAAUACUGGUCCAGAAAUGAUGUACAUGCUAUUUUUUUCAAGUGGCUAUGGCAUUUGUUUGGGGAAAAAAUACAGUGUAGUGGAGGUAGAACUUCCUGUACUUGGAGGGCAUCUGCCAUUUUACAAGCAGACUCACAAAGAGAUGCUAGCACUGCAUAGUUGUUUAUGAUCACAGUAAAGGCAGAAGCUCCCAAGAUUAUAACCUUUUCAGUAAGCAGGAAAGGGCUUGCAAGAAGGAGGGAGGAUUUCUAUCUCCCCAUUUUUUCCAUCUCGCAUACCCUAACAAGUUAGCUGGCUCUCUGAAGGUACCUGCAGAUACAAUGUAUGUAUUUGUAUAUACAUCAUAGAACCAUAGAAUAAUAUCCUGAGUCUCAAGGGACCCACAAGGAUCAGGCUUAUACUCCACAUAGGCAAAAUGCUCCAUGCUGGGCUGAGGAAAAAAAGCUUUUUAUGAGAUGCAGAGCCAUGCUGUUCUCUCCGGAGUAUGCACC
rnacentral:lncRNA from 1 species